UACGUAGGCAGCAAGCGUUGUUCGGAAUUACUGGGCGUAAAGAGUGUGUAGGCGGUGCUCUAAGUUCGGUGUGAAAUCUCCCGGCUCAACUGGGAGGGUGCGCCGGAAACUGGGGUGUUGGAGCGCGGGAGAGGAAAGCGGAAUUCCUGGCGUAGCGGUGAAAUGCGUAGAUAUCAGGAGGAACACCGGCGGUGUAGACGGCUUUCUGGACCGUAGCUGACGCUGAGACACGAAAGCGUGGGUAGCAAACAGG
rnacentral:rRNA from 1 species